UAAUAUUUUCAAUAAGAAUAAAAAUCGUACAUGAUAAAAGAUAUACGUUUAUUAUAUUUUGAUCGCACAAGAAAUACGCAAAGAUUCGCUAAAAUUGAACUUUCUUUGAUACCAGACUUUGAUAUAGGCUAUAAGCAAUCGUGAAGAAUAACGUGUUACGGGUGAAGAACUCGACCGUGAAAAUUGCGAGACGUAACAGAAAAUUUGAUCGGCCGUCUGCUCGAUUUUCUUGCGUAAAGGGGACGAAUUAACUUUGAGGCACCCCUAUCGCGGACUCAGCCGUCCCUAUCGUCGACCCUUUGAUUUUAAGCAAUCUCCAAGGGUGACUCGCCACAUUCCGAUUACAAUUUUAUUUCCUCCCCGCGCUGUCUUCGUUCGAUCACUUUCAUCGACUAGGGGUUAACUCGUUUUAUAGGAUGAUUCUUUUUUUUUUUCCUUUUUUUUUCUCUAGUCCAUCAGACCAGUUGCAGACUUCAUUUAAUUUUCUAAAUCACUAUUUAUUCCAAUUUCUUUUAAGUUGCGAUUCUCUUUCGUAUAUAAUAUUCAUAAUAACGCGCUCUUCUCUCGCAUGAGAUAAAAUUUGAAAAGAUUUUUCGCUGCUAUUAAGAUAAUUAAUAAAUCUGAUGGUAAUCUCCUUAUGAAUCAUGAUGUACAGGAUUACUAGUCUAAAUUUUAUUUCAAUUGUAACGAUAUUAUCCAUCUUGUUUCGCGAUUCAAAUAAAUAAAUAGAACAAGGCUAUUUGUUAGGUUCGUAAGAAUCUAUGCGCUUUUUUUAAAAUAAAUAAUAUGAACAUUCAACACGAAUCAUUUUUAUCAAAGCUGUAACAAGAGGGAAGAGAAAGAACAUGAAAAAGUCCACGUAAAUUACAAGCGCAUCUCAUCUCUCCUAUCGGCAGAUUUAUAUCCCCGAGUGGCUGUCAAACAAAUACGCUGGACUAACGGCUGGUAAAAAGCUCGGAUAUAUGCGCGCCCCCUCGGCGUGGAAUAAUAAAAAAAAUCAAGAUUUCUCACUGUGCGCAUACACGAAAAAUAUAAAACGUCGAAUUGCUCUGUUCUUCUUCAAGCCACCUUUAUUAUAUCGAAUAAAUCUCAAAUUGUUAAUCACAAUGCGUAUUAAGCAACAAAAUAGAAAGAUUACAAGGAAAUUUUACAAGAUCGAGUGUCGAUUCUUUCUUGGCAAAUAGAUAUUUUUCUAUAUACUUGAUCAACUUACUUGAUCAUCUAAUUAUUAAAUUAAUAAAUUAACGCGAGUGUGUGUGUCUAUUCGUAUUUCGCUCGAAUAAAAGUUUAACAGGAAAAAAAAAAAAAAAAAAAAAGAACGCGUGCACGGUCGCUAAAUCGAUCGGAAACAAAAUUUCUCCCGUAUCCGAUCCCCGCAUCGCGACGUCGUCUAUCCCCGCCGCGUUUCUCACGCUUCGAGAUCCGUCCCGUAACAAGAUCACCGUUACGAAAUAAUUGUAUCCUGCGCGCCAGUCGCGACGAAGCCGCGGCAACCCCUUUUUCCGCGGCUCUUUGCCGCCUCGCUUCCCCCUUCCUCGCCCUCCCCUCCCUCCCUCCUUUUUAUUCGCUUGCGCGGCCUUUUAUUCGCGUGAGCUGUCCGAAAAAAGAGGGCGAGAGCAGGGUGAUUCCGGGAAGCAAGGGCAACAAGAGUGGCUGACGAGUGCGCCGCAAAGUCGUAACGCCGCCCAACCCCCUCGAUCUCGAUCAUCUGCCUCCACCGCCGCCGUCUGUGUGACGCGGCAUCCCUGCGGUUUCGAGUUACCCAACACCGCGCCGUCUAGCAACCCGUCUGAUGAUGAUGCUCUAGCCACCACCAGAGUCGGAGUUUUUGUUUUGUCUGGCGGACCGGAAUGUUUGAUGCAACGUCUCCGACCAAUUAUAUCAUUAUACGCGCGCCGGAGUACACGGUAUGCGGUUUCACUGGCGCGUGUGCAACCGACGAAAUAUUCCACGGCCUUGUCGCAGGUUAAUUGGGAUCGUUUCGUUUAUUGGCGAUGGAUGCUGUACGCGAUCGGGCUGGGAUAGAUAGGUGUGAUUCGUGUUGCUGGGAAAAUAAAAUUUGAAAUGAACAGUUUUAAUUUCUAACAAAAAUUUGAAAUGAGUAUUGCACAAGGGAACAGAAGUGUAUUUAUCUAUUGUCUCAAUUGCGAGUCUUUCUCAUUUAAAAAUUAUAAAAAUUACAUCGAGCAUAUUGUUUCUUUUUUUUGGUUUAUAAAAUAGGAAAUAAUGUUUAUUAUCCAAAAUUUUCUGUUCAAAUUCAAACCAAUAUUCAAUACACUUUCUCCCGUCAUUACUCAUACCAUUCAAGUUCCAUACCCAUUCCAGGAAGCCAGACAUCCGGACAAUCUCAAAUACUCUUCCCAUCCCUUCCAUCGCUUCUCCAAGCUCUCCAAAUUCGCACCUGCGACGAUCGGGUUUCAUUCAGUCACGCUGCACUUAUCUAAUCAAUCUUGCCAUUUCAGAUCUCAGUCUGAUCGUGGAUCUUAAUUACCGUGAAGGAGAUCUGGACACAUUUGGUCGGGCGUUUCGUGUGCUCGUUCAUACGUUAAGUCCCAUUAAAAAGACUCCGUUUCACCCCAACGGAAGAUUCCAUUGUGUCGACACAGGUUUACAUCAACUUGGACACUUUGAAAGAUACCUGCGCGCUCUAAAUGGCGAGAAGAGGAACAUUGAACAACAAUUUUUAUAUUUUUAUGUUUAGAAUCGAAAGAUAAGAUCUCUCGAUGUAUCUCUCAUAACGCUCCGUCGAAUUCCUUUGCACACGCGUCGAUUGUUGAAACGAUUUUGGACGGCUGUCUUGCAGGUGCGUGCACAUGCAGAUGACGGCGUCCAGUGUGCGCCACGAGCGUUAAUUGAAACAACAGUUAGAGCCGGUGAAUCAUUUAAUUAAGCGGAUUCCGAACGAGUCGCGCGACGCCGCGUCGUCUGGCGUCAUUUCGAUCUAAUUACCACGCCGGGGCUAAGUGGCUCCGCUGGAUUCGCUGAAUGCCUCGCGACGAGCGUCUUUUUAAGUGCCGACGGUUACAAGUGCUCUGUCUGCCUCCGCGUUAUCCCUUUCUCCAUCCUUUUCCCGGCAGAAAAGCGGAUUGUGGUUAACGCGGCGUGAAAAUUGGCCGAGUAAAUGGGAACGGUAAGUGAUUGAAUUAUGCGAAACAGUUUGGUAAAUUUUUGAGCGAGGGAUAGUAAUUAGAUAAUAAAUAUGUAAAUGUAAUAAGAUUCAUAAGAAGCGGAGAAUUUGUAAAUCGUGCAAGUAAGCAAUAUUUUAUUUUUAUCGUUGUUUAGUUGAAAAUAAGAAUUUACACAUUUGAUAAUACGGUAAAUUGGGAUAAAUCGAUGAAUAUUUCAUUGAUGUAUCGAGAAAAAGCAAUAUUUCCAUUUUUCGAUUUCUCGAUUGUACGAUUCUGAAUAUACAGGAGCAUUAAUCUCAUUCUUAACGAGUUUAUAUAAAACUCGAUAGCGUUCCUGCUUCCUGUUUCAUCGGAGAAGGGCUUGUUUCCUGUAGUUUGAUCGCUCCCUUCGUGGCCUCUUCCAACCCCAUUUAGAAUCGUUGUCUGAAACGAACCCUCUGCCACGAUAAUUUGAUUGCUACGCCAUCCAGGCCAGACCCUAGCCCAAAAUUCGUAAUCGCAGCUGUGCAAGCGUUCAAUUCUAUUACAAUUGUAUCUAUGAAAAAAAGCUUUGGCCAAAAUAUUGAAUUUUACGCGAUUGUAAUACAUCCACCUCGACGAACAAAGCAUGCCAAUUAAAAUCAUCGCACAAAUCAAUAAUAAUAAAACGACAAAAUCUAUUUAAAAAAUAUAAGUCGAAAGAAACAAUAAGUCAUUUUCUACAAUUGAAUAGAAUUUCACUUUUUCUUUACAAACAAAAAAUGUUACGCUUUUAAUUAUCGAUACAAGAAGAAAGGGCAUGAUCCGUUAUUCGAACAAGAUCGUUUGAAAUCGUUGGCACAGAAAGCUCUUAAUAUUCGUAGAGGCGACUAAACGUCAUAAAGCCUGGUACGCGCUAAUCAUCAUAAUUUGCAAGGACGUCUAGCCGGUCCGUCGUUGAGGCGACGCCUCUCGUAAUUCGAGUGACAACUGACGGCCGUCUACGCGUUAAACGCUCAUCCCGGUGCCACGAUCCAAUCUCAUCCGAGGAGGAACUUUUUUUACGAGAACGAGAGAGGUCACGAGACGGCGGCACUCUCUCUCUCUCUCUCGCACACUUUUUCUCCGCUCUUGCUCUUUCUCCCUCCCCCUCCUCCCCUCGUCGCGCUCUCUUUCUCACUCUCCGCAAAUUACGUAGAAACGGUGGCUUUCUUCCAGACAUUUUUCUCGCUGGCCCGACAGUACAAAAUGAAUCACCUUUCCCGCUCAUGGAACAGGAAUUUAUACAUCGCGCCUCAUUUCUCUUAUUUACAGAUGCAUUUGCGUAAAUUUCCAACCCUUUCCCUGCCCCCUCCUCGACAGUCUCUCGACGGUUUAUUCGCGAUCUGUUGGCUCCCCCGGUAAUUCUAGGGGAAUCCCUCAUCUUGUCGCCGUGAGGUAUUCGCCGGUGAAAUCGUCGACAACGGAGAGAAUCGUAAAAAUGACGAAGCCGCCAUUGUUUUUAACCGUCUCGCGUUUAGAUCUUUCCCCGCCGAUUCGUUAAUGAGAUCGAAAUCCAUGUUUCCUCUUCCCUUUGCCUUUCUAUGAUUCGAAAAACGGAGAAACAGUUUUGAAGCGUCAUUUUUCAAGUUUGUUAAGUUUGAAUUAACAUUGCCACCUUGACUCUAUCGCUAUCGAAGAGACUAGAAUUUUUGCAAGGAUCUUAACUAUCGCGAUUAGGAACGAGGGGGAAGCUUAGCGACGCGAUGUCUGGGAUGAGAAAGAUGAAAGAAUGCACCGUGGCAGAGAAAAGGCUGGUAAAAAGGGGGAUCCGGAGCAAAAGACGCAACUGUCAUGAAUGAAAUGCUGCUCACCACCUAUUAAUAUCCAUCACCUCCUACAACGGGUGUCGCCGGCCUCAUAACGCCACUCGACUCUCGCCAGGAACAUCUUCACGCGAGAUUACUCGUCGUUUCUUCCAGCGGCGCAGUUUUACGCAACCGCGAGGAACAAUCUCGCCCACGUUACCUUUCUCUCUCUCUCUUCUUCCCUCUCUUCCUCCGCGUCGCACAACGAGAGAGGCGAGAAAGAAGGGAAGAUGUGCACGUACGAAAGGAACGAGGACGAAAGGCGGAGGCGAUGUCACGGAGUGUUUUAUUUACCGAGCGGGAAAGCCUAGACUUUGCACUACGCCACCGGUGCACGACACCCCCGCGUGUCUUGGAACGCUUGUGUACAAACACGAGGAUCGUCCAACCGUGUCCGUGUGUUUGCUACAAAGCUGCAUGGCCGUCGUUGGAUCGUCUAGAAUAUAUUAUCUGGCUGCUGUUGUUACAAUUAAUUGGUAACAUGUCUGGGAAAUUAUAAUUUUAAAAGCAUUGAACUUUAUAAAUGCACAGAGUAUGUACAAUUUUGACGAUCGAAACAGUCCACCACGGCACAAUUCGAAGUAAUUAUUGUAAUGGCAACGGUCUGGAACACGGUGGAAAAAUACAAGGUACCGAGGAAACAAUUCAGCUGGGAAGAGCCCAACGGGAGCCGUGAACGUACACUUUAAAGCUUUCGGAAUCUGAAAACGCCGGUUCGUUGGACUUUCUCGAGAAUUUGCACGGCGGGAUAAAAGAAUCGUAAGGUGCAGCGCCGGAACGGUUGAAGCCGCAUAAAACGCAAGCCAAACAGUUCUUGUUCCUGGGACGAUAAAAACGUAACUCACGCGACAAACCGGCCAAGAACGACCAAGUUACGACCAAGUUUUUUCCCAAGAUGCCGUAUCCGCGAAACUAAUCGCGCCAUCUAGCCAAGUCGAUCGCGGGACUUCCUCCCAAUUGGCAAAGUAUAUAGAAUUAACGAAUAAGUUGGUUAAAUGCAAGCAACUUGGGCAGGAGAAUGAUGACUUACUAAAAACUCUGUUUUCUAGAUUAUAAUCGUUAUUACGAGGCACCUUUAAGUGGUCGAAAUUGAACCACCCUUUAGCCCGACUGUAAGACUCGUAAUUAUUAAUUUUUAUGUCUGCUGAUAAUGUCUGCUCGUCUCUGAGAGAGUGCUCGAGCAUUUUAACGGUGUUUUGUGUUCGUUAAAACGGACGGAGGAAUUUUUAAUUAACACAGUUUCUGUAAUAUAAAGCUAGCCUUUUCUGGUUUUAUUUCUGACAAUUAACGGGUGUAAAUUAAAAGUAGGUACUUUUGGAAAAAAUUAUUUCAACACUUUGUUAGCGGUGGAAUAAUAUUCAGACUUGUUGUACAGGUGCAUUAAUUAUUUAAGACUUAAAAAGAUCGAUGUACUUUUUUCUAAGAAUUUCUCAAUUUUAGUAAGUAAACGUAUAUGUUUAAUUUUUCAAAAGUGUGUCUUAAUUAAACGCUGCAAGAGCUGCGCUUAGGAUUAAUUCAAGAGUCUAAUAACCAGUCUGGCCAUUGUACGCCAUCGCACGAACUUUUCUCCGGCCAGCCAGUCAUAGAACAAAGGUUCUUAUCAUAACGUGAACCAUAAUUUAUAAUAAAUCUAUUAUUUUCAUAUAAAAAAAUUCACAAUACUCUUGAAAUUUCAAAUUAAAAUCCAAAUAGAUACAAAUUGACAUAUUAAUUGUUUCUCUUAAUAAAAGGGAGGAACAAUUUUUUUCUCAAAAUUUUUACUUAUUCUAAGAUCGUUACACAAGCAAUACAAUGGAAUUUUACCAAUUGCUGGAAAUAAUAUACAUCAAUACAAUAUAUACCAUCGACAAAAUCAACGUCAUCACCGAUCUGGAUAAAAUGAGAAUCGAAAUCAGCCAAGGACCAAGCUUCGUCCCACUGUUGUACAGCCAUCUUUCGCUCGGCGAAUCUAUGCGCGACUCGUUUCCCUUGAUUAAAGGAAUAAUCCCCCGAGGGUGGAAGGAGUACACCGCGAUCGUGUCCUUUAACACGGUCGCUCGAGGCCUUGCGGAACGAAGGGAAGAGAAAAGUUUUUCGCGGAAACGAAACUGGUCGAGGGGGGGGAUCUAGGCAGAGACGAAAGGGAAUCGGAGGAAAAAGAAAGGAACAGAUAGCGAGCAGACGGGCGCGGUCGUGCCGGACGGCAUUUUAAUAGGUUCGCGGGGUUCGAGCGAAAAAGUUGCAAAACAAAAUAAAUCGGCGUCGCGACAGGUCGGGCCCGCGCUCUCCUCCGCCCUCUCUCUUCCCUUUUUCUCCUCUUUUCUCCUUCUUCCUCUCGGCUUUUUCCCUAUCCCCCUUCGCGCCUCCCCUGCACGGGACGCGGGUCAUGCAUAUUCACGUGUGGCAUUCGUACGCACGGAAUUAAGCGGCCGGGGAAUUAAAGCGCUUUUCGGCGAGAGCUAGUCCAGGAGCCUUCCACCGUCCCCUCCCCCACACCGUGCUCCAGGUGAUUACGCGGGGAUUUUUCGAGAGACGGCGUUUCUAUGGCGGCGCGGUAAGUACAGCUGCGAGAGACCAUGCCGCUCGCGCGUCGAUUCGACUCGCAUUAUUCCCCGAGACAAAUUGGACUCUCGCGUCCUGGACAACGCUUCUCUCUACUCUUUUCUACUUUUUUUUUUCCUCCCUUCGGUAUCUUUUAUCGCACUGACGAGACUCUCUUUUUUAGGAAAAUAUCAUAUCGGUUUGGUCGUACGAGGGAUGAAGUUUCUUGAUCCAUGGAUAUUGAGAGCAUGUCGAGACCGAGUAGAUACGUUUAUGGGCGUCGAGCAAAUUGUUGGAGAAGAUUGCAACCGGAAUGUAGAACGAGGGAGUGAUAAUUGAUCGAGUACUCUUACUGGAAAAUUAUCCAUGGUUAUGUAUAACAAUUAUUGGCCCAUUGUACUUCAAUUUUAUUCAUUAGAUUCUAUGAUUUCUUCAUUUAACGUUUUUUCACUUUCUUUGCGUUUUAUCGUUGGAUUUUUUCUUUUCCAGAGAAUUUAAAGGAUGGAUACUCGUUCCACGCGGAUAAGUAUUAAGCUGUUCUCCGAGUUGGUUGAAAGAAUUCUAGCACUCCUGCGCCACUUACGGGAGUAGACAGCAGAGAUCUGCAUAAAUAUUCAUACCGUUCCUAGUAAAGGCAACAACAAAUGCUUUGUCGCGUGUAAAAACGACAGGAAAGGUUGGGUAGGAUAUUCCAGGCGUUCGUGAAGCGGGAGAAAAGAAGAAGAGUAAAAAAAAAGGGGAAAGGGAGAAGGACGAUGGAAUAAGAUGGAAGAAGAAGGAUCAGAAUCAAAAGAGAUUGACGAAUUUCACCUGCUCGUGUAAUUUGUACAUCGCCACGUGAUACGUACACGGUGUCACGCGUGCUACACCUCGAUAUCCGCCGCGGAAAGAGCCGCGAGAAGAAAAGGGUGCGGAGGAGCGUGGAUGGAGAGGAAGGAGAAAUGGCCGUGAGGAAGACGAGGCGUCUGAAAUAAGGCUCGAAACCUCAAACCUCCCGGAAUCUCCGGUAUCGUGCAACUAUCACGUCUGCCAACCAACCCGUGCACCUUCCCCCUUCGCUCACCCUUUCGCUACCUACCCCUGCGUGUGCCACACAGUCGGCCACCCCUUUCUCCGCCGCGCCGUCGCCGCCGUCGUUUUCAUCUCUCCUUUCACCCUGCCCCCUCGUCUCACCGUGCUCCUCCCCAACUUGCCCCCCUGUCUCACCCUUCCCAUUCGACCGACCGCCCGUCUAGCCGCCCUUCCAACCCCUCACGCUGUGCGCCGCGCCACCCCCGAUCGCGUCCCGACGAAACUCCUCGCCACUCCAGACGACAGCGGCUCUGGUAACAGAGACUCCUCGAAACGUCGAACGAGCCCCGUUACGAGAGCGUUUUCUCCUCGUGGAUGCGAUCGACUCGCUCUCCCCGGCACCCUGGCGAAGCGUGCGAAGGUCGAGCCGAGGGACCAAGAGCACGAGAUCGAUCCGUUCCACGAUCUUCACGUGGAUGGAUACCAAGUAAUACGUGGUAAUUGACCUUUUCUUUUUCUGAUCUUUGGAAUCUAUGUCGAUUAUUGUAUGUUUAAGGAUACAAGAAGUGUUCUAGAAAUGGAGGUACAUAUUUUUGAGCCCAGCUCGAAAAGGGGUUGUGAAGGGAUGAAUUUGUUUGUGGUGCUUACGGUAGUUGCGAUACUUUAGGAAGAGGAAAAUUAUGUAAUUUUUGAGAGAAAAAGAGGGGACUGAAAAGGUUUAUUCUCUGAGUGCAUAAAUGAAAGAAUAAAGAUAAUUAAUUAAUUGAUUGAUUAUAUAUAAAUGACAGAGAAGAAAUUAUAUUUAUA